rnacentral:rRNA from 1 species
ACCAGUUGUUCCGCCAGGAGCAUAGCUGGGUAGCUAAGUCGGGAAGGGAUAAACGCUGAAAGCAUCUAAGCGUGAAGCCCCCCUCAAGAUGAGAUUUCCCAUAGCAUAAGCUAGUAAGACCCCUUGAAGAACACAAGGUUGAUAGGUCAGAGGUGUAAGUGUGGUAACAUAUUUAGCUGACUGAUACUAAUAGGUCGAGGGCUUGACCAA